ACAACGCUGGGCCGUCAUAGGCAAACAAACUAAUCCUCGAGCAUGGGUCACCAUAAAGUUAAUGGCUUCUGGGGUAACAUGUUCAGCGGCCAUAAUCA
rnacentral:antisense_RNA from 1 species